UACGUAGGGUGCAAGCGUUAAUCGGAAUUACUGGGCGUAAAGCGUGCGCAGGCGGUUUUGUAAGUCAGAUGUGAAAUCCCCGGGCUUAACCUGGGAACUGCGUUUGAAACUACAAGGCUAGAGUGUGGCAGAGGGGGGGUGGAAUUCCACGUGUAGCAGUGAAAUGCGUAGAGAUGUGGAGGAACACCGAUGGCGAAGGCAGCCCCCUGGGCUAGCACUGACGCCUCAGGCACGAAAGCGUGGGGAGCAAACAGG
rnacentral:rRNA from 1 species